rnacentral:rRNA from 1 species
CCUACGGGAGGCAGCAGUGGGGAAUAUUGGACAAUGGGCGAAAGCCUGAUCCAGCCAUGCCGCGUGUGUGAAGAAGGCCUUCGGGUUGUAAAGCACUUUCAGUGGGGAAGAAAGCCUUGGGGCUAAUACCCUCGAGGAAGGACAUCACCCACAGAAGAAGCACCGGCUAACUCCGUGCCAGCAGCCGCGGUAAUACGGAGGGUGCGAGCGUUAAUCGGAAUUACUGGGCGUAAAGCGCGCGUAGGCGGUCUGAUAAGCCGGUUGUGAAAGCCCCGGGCUCAACCUGGGAACGGCAUCCGGAACUGUCAGGCUAGAGUGCAGGAGAGGAAGGUAGAAUUCCCGGUGUAGCGGUGAAAUGCGUAGAGAUCGGGAGGAAUGCCAGUGGCGAAGGCGGCCUUCUGGACUGACACUGACGCUGAGGUGCGAAAGCGUGGGUAGCAAACAGGAUUAGAUACCCGAGUAGUC